rnacentral:rRNA from 1 species
GCAAGUCGAACGAACCUUCGGGUUAGUGGCGGACGGGUGAGUAACGCGUGAGAAUCUGCCCUCAGGAGGGGGACAACAGCUGGAAACGGCUGCUAAUACCCCAUAUGCCGCGAGGUGAAAUGAAUUUCGCCUGAGGAUGAGCUCGCGUCUGAUUAGCUAGUUGGUGUAGGUAAUGGCUCACCAAGGCAUCGAUCAGUAGCUGGUCUGAGAGGAUGAUCAGCCACACUGGGACUGAGACACGGCCCAGACUCCUACGGGAGGCAGCAGUGGGGAAUUUUCCGCAAUGGGCGAAAGCCUGACGGAGCAACGCCGCGUGAGGGAUGAAGGCCCCUGGGCUGUAAACCUCUUUUAUCAAGGAAGAAGAUCUGACGGUACUUGAUGAAUAAGCCACGGCUAAUUCCGUGCCAGCAGCCGCGGUAAUACGGGAGUGGCAAGCGUUAUCCGGAAUUAUUGGGCGUAAAGCGUCCGCAGGCGGCCCUUCAAGUCUGCUGUUAAAAAGUGGAGCUUAACUCCAUCAUGGCAGUGGAAACUGUUGGGCUUGAGUGUGGUACGGGCAGAGGGAAUUCCCGGUGUAGCGGUGAAAUGC